CUCUCCCCAUUCACUCCUUCAAGACCAUGGGGUCGCUGCUUGCUGCUGCUCCUCCUUCGCUGCUUUGGCGCUUGCGGCUCUCCACACGGAGGUGAGGUCGGCUGUCCUGCCUCCCUUAUCUUGCGCAGCAGGGAGUUCCUGUCCUCGGAUCUGCGACUACAGUUCUACCUUCUCCCCUGCUUUCCUACGCAUGGCGUGGGGUAAGGGAGGUUGCUGCGGCAGCGGCAGCGGCGAAGCUUGAAGCUAAGCUUGGGGGUCGCGGUGGAAGAAGACGGUGGCUUCGGCGAGCUUCCUGAACUCGCCUCAUUUAUCUCGGCGUUUUUGGUGCGUUGGCCUACCCAUCCUCCGGAUCUCGGCUUGGCAGUGGCACAUCUACCCAGACUGGGACCAGGUGUGGCCCUCUGAACGCCGGUGGAGGCAAGACAUGAGGUGUAGCAACGACGCGCCGGCGGCGGCGUGCACGCCCGAGAACCUGCACGGGCGCCCAGGUUUGGCUUAACGGGCCGAUCUACGCGCCCGGGCCAUUUACCAGGCGACACAUUACUCGCAGCCUAAUGACGUCUUAGACACGUAAAGACAAGUUAAUGGAGGUUUGGUGAUGGGAGUAUGAAUCUAUAAUACCUAUAAAGUUAGUCCUCAUUAAGAGUCAUUAAUUCUAUUUAUCUUAACAUGCAAGCUAUCUACAUCAUCA